CCUACGUGGGGCAGCAGUGGGGAAUAUUGCGCAAUGGGCGAAAGCCUGACGCAGCGACGCCGCGUGAGGGAUGAAGGUCUUCGGAUCGUAAACCUCUGUCAGCAGGGAAGAACGGUCACUGUGCUAAUCAGCAGUGAAUUGACGGUACCUGCAAAGGAAGCACCGGCUAACUCCGUGCCAGCAGCCGCGGUAAUACGGAGGGUGCGAGCGUUAAUCGGAAUUACUGGGCGUAAAGCGCUCGUAGGCGGUAUGUCAAGUCAAGGGUGAAAUCCCCGCGCUAAACGUGGGAACUGCCUUUGAAACUGGCAAACUGGAGUGUGUGAGAGGAUAGUGGAAUUCCAGGUGUAGGAGUGAAAUCCGUAGAUAUCUGGAGGAACAUCAGUGGCGAAGGCGACUAUCUGGCACAUAACUGACGCUGAGGAGCGAAAGCGUGGGUAGCAAACAGGAUUAGAUACCCCGGUAGUC
rnacentral:rRNA from 1 species